UUCAUCCAUCCAGCUGGCUGAAAAGCUCCACCAGUCUUCUGAUCAGUUUAAGACACAUCCGCAGGAGAGAAAACUAGAAUUGAGCAGAAGCCACAAAAUGGUAACCCAGAGCAUGGCCUGGGAUCUACUUCAAUUGUUUCAAGAAGCCCAAAGCUAUCCAGCAUGAUGAAAUCAUGUGUAAACUGUUUGAGAAGUGGUUAACAAGUAUCUACAAGCCAAGGUUCCCCAGCGGCCAGGAACACCGAGGCCAGCGCUGUCCGCGGUGCUGAACAGCCGGCCGAGCCCACUCACCGGCCACCACCGCCGCUCCUAGGAGGCCGAGAAACACCGCCGGCUGCAUGGCUCCGCUCGGCCGAAUCUGCACGG